GUGGGGAAUAUUGGACAAUGGGCGAAAGCCUGAUCCAGCCAUGCCGCGUGUGUGAAGAAGGUCUUCGGAUUGUAAAGCACUUUAAGUUGGGAGGAAGGGCAGUAAGUUAAUACCUUGCUGUUUUGACGUUACCGACAGAAUAAGCACCGGCUAACUUCGUGCCAGCAGCCGCGGUAAUACGUAGGGUGCAAGCGUUAAUCGGAAUUACUGGGCGUAAAGCGCGCGUAGGUGGUUUUGUAAGUUGGAGGUGAAAUCCCCGGGCUCAACCUGGGAACUGCCUCCACAGCUGCAGUACUAGAGUACGGUAGAGGGUAGUGGAAUUUCCUGUGUAGCGGUGAAAUGCGUAGAUAUAAGAAGGAACACCAGUGGCGAAGGCGACUACCUGGACUGAUACUGACACUGAGGUGCGAAAGCGUGGGGAGCAAACAGGAUUAGAAACCCCUGUAGUCC
rnacentral:rRNA from 1 species